UUCAACGGAGAGUUUGAUUAUGGCUCAGGACGAACGCUGGCGGCGUGCUUAACACAUGCAAGUCGAACGAUGAAGCCUAGCUUGCUAGGUGGAUUAGUGGCGAACGGGUGAGUAAUACGUGAGUAACCUACCUUUAACUCUGGGAUAAGCCUGGGAAACUGGGUCUAAUACCGGAUACGACCAAUCUCCGCAUGGGGUGUUGGUGGAAAGCGUUAUGUAGUGGUUAUAGAUGGGCUCACGGCCUAUCAGCUUGUUGGUGAGGUAACGGCUCACCAAGGCGACGACGGGUAGCCGGCCUGAGAGGGUGACCGGCCACACUGGGACUGAGACACGGCCCAGACUCCUACGGGAGGCAGCAGUGGGGAAUAU
rnacentral:rRNA from 1 species